rnacentral:rRNA from 1 species
UGGGGAAUUUUGGACAAUGGGCGAAAGCCUGAUCCAGCAAUGCCGCGUGUGUGAAGAAGGCCUUCGGGUUGUAAAGCACUUUUGUCCGGAAAGAAAUCCUCUGGGUUAAUACCUCGGGGGGAUGACGGUACCGGAAGAAUAAGCACCGGCUAACUACGUGCCAGCAGCCGCGGUAAUACGUAGGGUGCAAGCGUUAAUCGGAAUUACUGGGCGUAAAGCGUGCGCAGGCGGUUUUGUAAGACGGAUGUGAAAUCCCCGGGCUUAACCUGGGAACUGCAUUCGUGACUGCAAGGCUAGAGUAUGGCAGAGGGGGGUAGAAUUCCACGUGUAGCAGUGAAAUGCGUAGAGAUGUGGAGGAAUACCGAUGGCGAGGCGAGCCCCUGGCAAUACUGACGCUCAUGCACGAAAGCGUGGGGAGCAAACAGGAUUAGAUACCCUGGUAGUCCACGCCCUAAACGAUGUCAACUAGUUGUUGGGGAUUCAUUUCCUUAGUAACGUAGCUAACGCGUGAAGUUGACCGCCUGGGGAGUACGGUCGCAAGAUU